GUUUCACUAACUGUAAGAACACAACAAUUUAAGUAAAUGUGAGUGUCAUAUAAAAGGUCAAAAGAAAUAAUAUUUGAUAAAGGGUAUGAUCGAAAGUGGUUAAGGAGUUAGUUCAUCUAGCCCACCUACAGUUUGCAAAUGGCACUCUAUUCUUUCUUUUAAGGUAGGAAUGCUCCUUCGUUAAUCUUAAUAGGUUUUUGUCCUUUUUUUUGAAGAGAUUUUCAGGCUUGAGAUUAAUAGAGGUAAGAGUUCCGUGUUGGGUAUAAAUUGUUAUCCUUCCAAGUUAAGCUCAGGGGCUUUUAUGGUGGGUUGUAACGUGUGCCAGUUCCCUCCCUUGUCCUUAGGGCUCCCCUUGGGUGGGAAUCCAAGGAGCUUAACAUUUUGGAAUCCUAGCAUGCAUAAAACUCGGAAGAGAUUGUUUGCCUUUAAAGGAAGGUACUUCUCUAAAGGGGAAAACUUGUGGUAAUCCAAUCUGUGUUGAAAGGGAUCCCUUACUAUUUCUUGCCAAUCUUUAGGAUUCUUGUCUAGAUAAGUGUCCAUUGAGAGAGUUAAAGCAAAGUUUCUAUUGAAAGGGAUUGACGAAGGAGGAGGGCCCCACCUGAUCAAAUGAAAGGUGGUCAUGAACUCAAUGUAUCUAGGAGGGUUAGGCAUUGGGAGCUUGAGGUUACGUAACACAGUUUUCCCGACUAAGUCAUUGUGGCACUUCUUCCUAAAGCCUAACACGUUGGGACAUAGAGUACUUGCGAGCAAGUAUGGCCCACUUUUGGUGGUGCAAGGGUGAUGGUUCUAGGGGUCUUAGCAAAAACCUCUUGUCAAUCUUUAGGAUUCUGGUGUAGGUAAGUGUCCAUUGAGAGAGUAGAGAGGAGUUCCUAUUGAAAGGGAUUGACGAGGGAGGAAGGUCCCACCUGAUCAAGUGAAAUGUGGCCAUGAACUCGAUGCAUCUAGGAGAGUUAGGCAUUGGGAGCUUGAGGUUACGUAACACAGUUUACCAAGCUAAGUCGUUGUGCCACUUCUUGCUAAAGCCUAACUCAUUGAGACAGAGUAAUUGCGAGCAGGUAUGACCCAUAUCCUUUUGAUGGUGCAAGGCUGAUGGUUCAAGGGGUCUUAGCAAAAAUGCCUGGGUUAUUUUUUCGAGAUUUCCCUCUUUUUCUCUGUUUAUGCAUUGUUCUCUUAAGGAAAACUCAGAUUUAUUUUUUCGAGGAUUGCUGGGGGGAUAAACCUUUGUGUAUUCUGUUUCCACGUUUAUAACAGAUUUGAAACAAAAUGUUGCAUUCGGUGGACUCAGUGCUGCCUUCCUCCAAAAGGUUUUUGCUUUCGUUAGACUUUUGAUGACCUCUAUCUGAGAGGGGUAAUAGAUGUUAGUUUUCCCAUGAGAAAGGAUGUUCAUAUUUGGUACUCUAAUCCUUCUACGAGGGUUCUCACGAUAUUCCUUCUUCCAUGUUAUGUAUGGCCUUUCUCCCCACCCAGGGGCCUUUGUUUUAUCCUCUCUUUGGCCGGCUAUAAAAUUCCAAAAAAAGUCCGAGGUUUUUGCAUAAUAGGUUUAGUAUAGGGGUAGAACAUCUUGGAUUGUUUCCAAAGGCAUCCUUUCUUCUUCUUUUCCUUGAGGAGGACCUCGAUCAUUUGUUGUGCGAUUGACAAUUUGCUCAAUUCUUUUGGAGUUGCUGGAGAUCAUUUAGUGUGUGUGGAGCACUGAGUAGGGAUGGUAAUUCGUUGUUGGAGGAGGUGCUUCUAAAUCUCCCUUUAAGGGAAAUGGACAAAGUCCUAUGACAAGCAACCUUCUUUGUUGUUUGUAGAGUAUUUAAUUGGAAAGCACUACUAGAAUUUUCGAAGAGGUUGUGAGGAGGUUUGGAAUGUUAUUUUGGGUUGACGGUUAAUAAAUAAAGGAAACUCCAAGUUUAGGGGGCAAGCAUUUUCUAAAGAUAGUUUGUGAGAGAUUCCAAGCCUUUCAGAAUGCUUGGAAAACUUACAAUUUUCCUUCAAUAUUUUAUGUUAAUUUUCAUUUCAAUUUCCAGUUCCCAUCAUAGCCAUCAAAGAUAAUUCUUUACACACUUCUUACCCUCUGCCAGCGAAAUUACAAAUAAACUCCUCCAUCCCCCAAACCAAUUCAUAAAAUAAUAUCACUACUACACAAAUGAAAAAAA